AUCAACUUUCGAUGGUAGGAUAGAGGCCUACCAUGGUGGUAACGGGUAACGGGGUGUUAGGGCACGACACCGGAGAGGGAGCCUGAGAAACGGCUACCACAUCCAAGGAUGGCAGCAGGCGCGCAAAUUACCCAAUCCCGACACGGGGAGGUAGUGACAAUAAAUAACAAUACGGGGUUCUUUCGGAUUUCGUAAUUGGAAUGAGUACAAUUUAAAUCUCUUAACGAGGAACAAUUGGAGGGCAAGUCUGGUGCCAGCAGCCGCGGUAAUUCCAGCUCCAAUAGCGUAUAUUAAAGUUGUUGCAGUUAAAAAGCUCGUAGUUGAAUUUCGGGGUCAGCAAGUUGGUCGUGCCACUGGUAUGUACUGGCUUUGCUGAUUCCUCCUUCUUGUAGAACCGUAAUGCCAUUAAUUUGGUGUUGCGGGGAAACAGGACUGUUACUUUGAAAAAAUUAGAGUGUUUAAAGCAGGCUAACGCUUGAAUACAUUAGCAUGGAAUAAUGAAAUAGGACGUUUGAUCCUAUUUUGUUGGUUUCUAGGAUUGACGUAAUGAUUAAUAGGGAUAGUUGGGGGCAUUAGUAUUCAAUUGUCAGAGGUGAAAUUCUUGGAUUUAUUGAAGACUAACUACUGCGAAAGCAUUUGCCAAGGAUGUUUUCAUUAAUCAAGAACGAAAGUUAGGGGAUCGAAGACGAUCAGAUACCGUCGUAGUCUUAACCAUAAACUAUGCCGACUAGGGAUCGGAUGAUGUUAAUUUUUUAAUGACUCAUUCGGCGCCUUACGGGAAACCAAAGUGUUUGGGUUC
rnacentral:rRNA from 1 species